GUUGGGCUAGUGGGCUGUGUAGAGUGUCUUGAGCUAAGAAUAGAGGGAAGGUGGCAGCCCGUAAAGAGUUUUACAACACCGCAAUCAUCCAACUAUUUACUGAUUAUAAUGUCGUUAUAUGUUUAACGGUUCAGGUAUCAAACGAUCUCCGAAUGCGACGAAAUUUGAAACGCGGUCUACCUACAUUAUAUUAAGAUCGCACACCAACUUUCAACCCAUUCCGAGAAAGUUUUAUAUACACUUUUAAAAAU
rnacentral:lncRNA from 1 species